AAAAUGUCUGGUUAAAAAUUGGAAACUGGAGCAGGAUGGUGGCCAUGGAAGUUGGACUCUACUAAGGAGUGUCUAACAACUCACCUGCCAAAUCAACUAGCCCUGAAAAUGGAUGGUGCUGGA
rnacentral:ncRNA from 1 species